rnacentral:RNase_P_RNA from 1 species
CCGGUGGGUCGCUUUGUCGCUCUUCUUUUUGAGGGGAGGAAAGUCCGGACAGGGCAGAGCAAGACUCUGUGGAAAUCACAGCUGGGGGUAACUUCAGGUAAAUCGUAACAGAAAAUAACCGCCCUUUAGGGGGUAAGGGUGAAAAUGCGGGGUAAGAGCCCACAACAGAUUAUGGCGACAUAAUUUGGGUACGACCAGUCUCCUGCAAGGCCAAGUAUACCGGCAGUCAAGAGCUGCUCGCUCGUUGCCGGGGGGUAGGCUGCAUCAGAUAAAUGACAGAGGCCUCUCUUUGAGAGGUACAGAAUCCGGCUUACAGACCCACCUUUUUU